GUGGAGUCGCUGUAGUACUCAGCCUCACAAACUGGAAACACAUUAGAACGUUAAACAGGCUGCUGCUGCCAUCAGCGUUCUGUAACGGGGUCAGAGGUCAACAAACUCAGAGGUCAACAUUAAAUCUCUACUUUCUGUCUCAUAGUUAGUGGAACAAUUAUCUCAAUAUUAAAAUUA